AUUGGGGUAGAAAAAAUGUUCUUCGCAAUUCUAUCGGAUGCGCACCGGUUGACAUCAAACAUGAAAAAGAUGCAUAUAAUUUAGUUAUAAUGUAAAUAUGUGUAUUCUCCUGCAAGCAAGAGUUUACCCUUAUCGUUGAAAUAUUUGACACCAUUGCAAUAAACCGCAAGGGACAGAAUCCAUUGAAUAUUGAGGAGCAAGCAAGGUAGGCGACAGAAUUUGAGGUUAUUAACGUUCACAGGCAUAUUCUAUCAAUGAAAUCUUGCACCAAUUAGUCACCGAGUUAUCCUGCGUGAAGGUGUUCUGUUUUGACCAAAAUAUGUUAUCUUUACUGCGAAGGCUAUAAACUGAAGAAAUUACACACAUAUGUUAUUUAACCAUGCUGGAAAAGUAGUCUGAUCGGUGACCAGAGUAUGGUUGUUCUACAGCUGACAGACUGUUUAUAAUAAGCCUUAGCAAUGAGGAGAAAAUGUUCAAGUCAUUUCUUUUUAAUCAUACCCUAUUGAUGUGCCUAUUAAUCUCAAAGAAUACAAUAGGAUGGAGACAAUAUGUGGUAAAGGAGGGACAUUGGAUGGUGACAUGCUGAUGGUCAUCGUUAAACAAGAGGAAGAAGACCAUAUGGAGCAGAUGUCCAAUGGUCCACUGUCAUCUGACACGCUCAUCAAACAGGAGCAAGAAGAGGGCCUAUAGAACAAGGCACUACAGCUCCAGAUGACCAACUCCCUGAGGAAACAGACACCCUGGAAGAAGCAGAGAAGGAAGGGAAAGACAGGAGAGGUGCUGGUCUGCUGUUAAGACUGAGGAUGUCUGGGUCAGACUCCAGUUGGUGCUGCAGACUGUGUCAGUGCUGCUUCAGUUCCUCCUGGCAGCUGACGGGACACUGUUGUACUGGCAUCGCGGGGGAGGACGGGGUCACCCACGGCCACAAGGUCAAACUGGAGUUCCAGUGCCCAGGUUGUGGCGACCGCUUCCUCCACGCCUUCAUCAUGCACAAGCGCAGUCACAUUGGCCAGUCCCAGUACGUCUGUGGACGGACGCUCAAGACCCUGUGCAUGCUGUCCUCCAAGUGCUCACACUCCCGCCGCCGCGGGACUGUGGCUGAACGACAGCAGUGCCAUGACUGCAGCCAGAGCUUCUGCAAGCUGACGGCACUCAGAAGCCACCGGGAGAGACAGCACGGAGAGGAGAGGAACUGGGAGGAUGAGGAGGACAGGGUGGUGAGAGAGGAAGAGCAGGGAAGCACUGCAGUAAUCUCUAUUGAUUCAACCUGAGUUUCAGCUCAGCCUCUCCAGUCUCCUCAGUGCCACCAGUGUUUCAUGACCUUUCAGGAUGCAGAGACAGAAGAGAGGCAUUUACGCUUCAAGCACCCAGUGGAGUAUGAGAGACAUCUCAGAGGUCACACAGUGUUUGCCUGCUGUGUCUGCGACCGAACAUUCCCCUCCUCCCGCCUGCUCUCAGCUCACCAACGCACCCACAGCAAGUGGAGUCUGCCCCCAACUGGACCAGAAGACUCUGUCCAAGAAUGCACAGAUGGAGGAGAGGCCGAGGGGUCAGCCAUAGUAGUACGGCACCCCUGGAGCAAAUAGGGGUCAACUGUCUUGCUCAAGGACACAUCGACAGAUCUUUCACCGUGUCGGCAUAUUAUUUCUGGUAUAGACAAUGAAAAAAAAACAGCUGGUCCAAUGAGCUGUGAGCACUGUCAUAUCACCUUCAAUGACCCUCGAACCUGGGAACGUCACAUGACGGCCAAGCAACCCCAUCCCUGUCGACACCUACUUCACCAGGGAUUGCCUACCUGACUUCUAGACCUGCCAGGGGUCAACUACGACCCUAUCGCUGCUCAUCCUGUGGAGAGAGAUUCAUACAGGAAAGCACGCUGACCAAACACGGCACCAAGGCACACGUCAGCUGAGAGAGGAUGAUUCUGGGAGCAUAGAUACCAAGAUGCAAUAUCUUUUCCAUGGCAAAAAUGAAAACAGGAAGCAGACCAGACUCUUUGGUCCUUUUAUUUUCCAAGCUAUAGCUUUAAAAAUAAAUACAUGUGAUUCUGGAUAAAAAACAUAAUGAUGUUUGUUUCCAACUUCAAGGCUGUUUCCCCAAAGAAGUUAAAUCGACUUCGUGUUUUGUUUCCUUGCCACGAUACUGGUAUCACCCCAGCCCUAACAACUUGAAAAGCACCGGUGUCAAAAUGGAGUAGUUUUCAAAAUAAAAGCCUGACCAUAUUUAUUAGAGAUUCACAUAAAAAAUGUUUUUCUCCUGUACCCUGAUUUAAGAUGAAAACAGACCAAACCAGCUUUUGAUCAUUUUGAUAGCAAUAAUGUCAGUACUACGACAUGUAAACUACAUGAACAAAAGUAUGUGAACACCUGCUCAUCGAACAUCUCAUCCAAAAUCAUGGAUAUUAAUAUGGAAUUGGUCCCCCCUUUACUGCUAUAACAGCCUCCACUCUUUUGGGAAGGCUUUCCAUUAGAUGUUGGAACAUUGCUGUGGGUACUUGCUUCCAUUCAGCCACGAGCAUUAGUGAGGUUGGGCGAUUCGACCUGGCUCGCAGUCUGAGUUCCAAUUCAUCCUAAAAGUGUUCAAUGGGGUUGAGGUCAAGGCUCUAUGCAGGCCUGUCAAGUUCUUCCACACCGAUCUCAACAAACCAUUUCUGUAUGGACCUCGCUUUGUGGACGGUGGCAUUGUAAUGCUGAAAAGGGCCUUCCCCGAACUGUUGCCACAAAGUCCGAAGCACUGAAUCGUCAAGAAUGUCAUUGUAUGUGGUAGCGGUAAGAUUUCCCUUCACUUGAACUAAUGGGCCUAGGACAAAACAUGAAUAACCAUUAUUCCUCAUCCACCAAACUUUACAGUUGGCACUAUGCAUUGGGGCAGGUAGUGUUUUCAUGGCAUCCGCCAAACCCAAGAUUCAUCCAUCGGACUGCCAGAUGGGGAAGCGUGAUUCAUCACUCCAGAGAAUGUUUUUCCACUGCUCCAAAUCCAAUGGUGGCGAGCUUUACACCUCUCAAGCUGACGCUUGGCAUUGUACAUGGUGAUCUUAGGCUUGUGUACGGCUGCUCGGCCAUGGAAACCCAUGCCAUGAAGCUCUCAAUGAACCGUUCUUGUGCUGACGUUGCUUCCAGAGGCAAUUUGGAACUCGGUAGUGAGUGUUGCAACUAGUUCUGUUACGGUGACUAUAUUACUGGCACACUGGCGGUCACGUGUCAUGAGGGCAGUCAAAUUCCACAUGACCAUUUAGUCACGGUAAUUAGGCUUCUCCAAGCUCUGAUGCUGCUGAUGGUCAUUAGUAGGCUGGCCACUCGAUUUCGUCUCUGCGUUAUAUUAACAUCGAACAUGUCACCAUUCCUAGGAGAGGGGUUGACCUUGAUAAUUUAUUGUUAAAACGAGAGGCUGCCUGGAUCUAUCCUAGGAUAGGAUAAGUAAUCCUUCUCACCCCCCCCCCUUAAGAUUUAGAUGCACUAUUGUAAAGUGACUAUUCUACUGGAUGUCAUAAGGUGAAUGCACCAAUUUGUAAGUCGCUCUGGAUAAGAGCGUCUGCUAAAUGACUUAAAUGUAAUCUUUACCUUAAAGACCCUUGCUCCCUUCGGUCUCAACGUAGACUUUGAUCUGAAGCCAUUCUUGUGAUUAUUGUGACUUUGCCAAUGAUAAUUGUUUGUAAGCUUGUGUAGUCAAAUUAAUUUAUGACCAUAUGCUGUUCUUUGUAUGCCAUUUUAAUAUUUGAGAAUUAACCAAUGAUAUUAGGCCACUCUUGGCCAUGAUUACAGACACGUGUGUCUUUUGACACUAUUUAAACGAGUCAUCCCGCAGUGUUUGUGAUUAAACCCUGAUGAAGACAGCUUGGCUGUCGAAGCAUUGGAUAUUACAUUUUUGCAUCUGAGUUCCUAGAGUGUGUGGCUCUCCUUUAUUUUCAGGUCAUUCAGUAACAUACCAAACUUGCUAACCGCCUGGCACUCUAUUGUCCUAUCACUCUGACAUAAAUGGAAUGAAAAAUCUAAUCAAACACUUAAUGAGAGCCCAAGAAAUCAUGUUGUGCAACAUUUCUAUAGGCUAUGCAAUUGAGAAAACAGAGUGAUGGCCUCUAUUAAAAAGAGGAGGAUCCCAUCAGCUUUCAAUAGGCUAGGCCUACUAUCUAUUUCUCAACUUUCCUAUUAU